rfam:Hordeum vulgare subsp. vulgare, WGS project CAJW01000000 data, contig: morex_contig_6548
CAAGUACCCCCUCCGUCCCAAAAUUCUUGUCUUGGGUUUGUAUAGAAAUAUAUGUAUCUAAAUACUAAAACGUGAUUCGAUACAUUCAUAUCUAGAAAAAUCCAAGACAAGAAUUUUGGGACGGAGGAAGUACUUU